UGCCCCGCAAGACGAAUGCCUCGCAAGACGGAAAACUCGCUAGACGAAAGGGUUUUCCGUUUUGGAGGUGCCUCGCAAAACGAAUCUGCUAUGGGCUUGCUUCGCAAGACGAAAAUGUCUUGCGAGUUCCUGGGGUUUUUUUUUCCUUUCCCCCCUCUUUUUCUAAGUCGCUAAGCCGCUUAUCUGCUUAUCCGAUAAGCUGAUAAGCCGCUAAAAGCCGCUAAUAGCGCUAAUAGCGCUAAUCCGCUAAUCCGUCAAUGGGCUUGCUUCGCAAGACGAAAAAACCGCUAGACGAAGAGACUCCCAGAACGGAUUCUUUUCGUCUUGCGAGGCACCACUGUAC